rnacentral:ncRNA from 1 species
UAAGGAAGAGGCGCAAUGAUUAUUAGUCGUCCUAUCAAACAAUUUAGGUUGUGAAGCGAUAGGAUUAAAGGAAUCGUUGCCGAAACUGGUAGUCGCCUAAACGGCUACUUCGUUGGGUCCUAGCUAAAUAAGCUAGGGACUGUCGCAAGUUAUUGCUUGCGGGGUGCUUUUA